rnacentral:rRNA from 1 species
CAGUCGCCGCGGUAAUACGAAGGGUGCAAGCGUCAAUCGGAUUUACUGGGCGUAAAGGGCGCGUAGGUGGUUAUUUAAGUGAGAUGUGAAAGCCCCGGGCUUAACCUGGGAACUGCAUCUUAUACUGGGUAACUGGAGUGCAGUAGAGGGUAAUGGAAUUUCCGGUGUAGCGGUGAAAUGCGUAGAUAUCGGAAGGAACACCAGUGGCGAAGGCAAUCCCCUGGACCUGUACUGACGCUCAUGCACGAAAGCGUGGGGAGCAAACAGGAUUAGAUACCCCUGUAGUCCCUGUCUCUUAUAC